rnacentral:lncRNA from 1 species
GUCAACCAGCAUUUCCUUCCCACAUUUUCCACAAAGCCUGAAGCACAGUCAGUCAUUACUCAACUACUGCAGAAGGAUGAUAUACACACACACACACACACAAUCCUCUCUGCGAUGGCCUGUGCACGUGUCUCUGUAUGUCUACGAACGACCGUGUGUGUGUGUGUGUGUAUAUGCGUGUGUGUGACCCCCACCAGAUCUGCUGUAGUGCUUAGCGUACGGCCAGUCCUCCACAUCACAGUAGCCACAGCUGUUCUGCUCUGCCCUCUGUAAUCAUAGAAGUACUAUUUUAGACUUCAUAUUGGACUAUAGAUUAGGAGGUAAUUACCAGGAUACACACACACACAGGAUACACAGGGUUACCAUGGAGAGAGAGAGACUGGAAGGCCCUGGUCAAGGAAUAAUAAACACAGCCAGCCCUGGGCCAGAUACAGAUCAGAUGUGACCGUCUGAGGGAGGGAGACGGCGGGCAGGGUGUGUGUGUGUGGGCCGGGGUUGAGGUCUGUGUGUGUGUGUGUGUGUGUGUAAGAGAGAGAGAGAGACAGAGGGAGAGAGAGACAGAGAGAGAUAAACUAGGUGUCAUAAUCCCUCCUUGUUCUGACCCUGGCCUGUCCUGAUGCCGAAUCCGCCUGCCUGACCACUCUGCCUGUUCUGACCUCGAGCUUGCCUAUUGCCUGGUACUGUUUGGACGCUGACCUGGUUUAUGAACUCUCGCCUGUCCCCGACCUGCCUUUUGCCUCCCCCUUUUGGUAUAAUAAAUAUCGGAGCUCAACCAUCUGCCUCCUGUGUCUGCAUUUGGGUCUCGCCUUGUGCCCUUAUAUCAUUAGGCCCUAAUCUAUGCAUUUCACAUGACUGGGAAUACAGAUAUGCAUCUGUUGGUCAUAGAUACCUUUAAAAAAAAAAGUUGGGGCGUGGAUCUGAAAACCAGUCAUUAUCUUGUGUGACCGCUAUUUGCCUCAUGCAUAGAGUUGAUCAGGCUGUUGAUUGCGGCCUAUGGAUUGUUGUCCCACUCCUCUUCAAUGGCUGUGCGAAGUUGCUGAAUAUUGGCGGGAACUGGAACACGUUGUCGUACACGUCAAUCCAAAGCAUCCCAAACAUGCUUAAUGGGUGAUAUGUUUCUACAAGGUGUCGAAAGCGUUCCACAGGGAUGCUUGAGCAUUUUCACUCCAAUGCUUCCCACAGUUGUGUCAAGUUGGCUGGAUGUCCAAUGGGUGGUGUACCAUUGCCGUUCUUGACGUUGCCAUUCUUGACAUAAACCGGUGUGCCUGGCACCUACUACCAUACCCUGUUCAAAGGCUUUUAAAUCUUUUGUCUUGCCCAUUCACACUCUGAAUGGCACACAUACAAAAUCCACGUCUCAAUUGUCUCAAGGCUUAAAAAUCCUUCUUUAACCUGUC